rnacentral:rRNA from 1 species
UACGUAGGGACCGAGCGUUGUCCGGAAUCACUGGGCGUAAAGCGCGCGUAGGCGGCUUUUCAAGUCAGGGGUGAAAUCCCACAGCUCAACUGUGGAACUGCCCUUGAAACUGUAAAGCUAGAGUGUCGGAGGGGAUAGCGGAAUUGCUAAUGUAGAGGUGAAAUUCGUAGAUAUUAGCAGGAACACCGGUGGCGAAGGCGGGACUCUGGGCCGAUACUGACGCUGAGGAGCGAAAGCGUGGGGAGCAAACAGG